GACGAACGCUGGCGGCGUGCUUAACGCAUGCAAGUCGAGCGGAAAGGCCACUUCGGUGGUACUCGAGCGGCGAACGGGUGAGUAACACGUGAGUAAUCUGCCCCUGGCUUUGGGAUAGCCAUCGGAAACGGUGAUUAAUACCGGAUACGACCACUUCUCGCAUGGGAUGGUGGUGGAAAGUUUUUUCGGCCAGGGAUGUGCUCGCGGCCUAUCAGCUUGAUGGUGAGGUAAUGGCUCACCAUGGCUUCGACGGGUAGCCGGCCUGAGAGGGUGACCGGUCACACUGGGACUGAGACACGGCCCAGACUCCUACGGGAGGCAGCAGUGGGGAAUAUUGGACAAUGGGCAGAAGCCUGAUCCAGCAACGCCGCGUGAGGGAUGACGGCCUUCGGGUUGUAAACCUCUUUCAGCAGGGACGAAGCGCAAGUGACGGUACCUGCAGAAGAAGCACCGGCCAACUACGUGCCAGCCGCCGCCGUAA
rnacentral:rRNA from 1 species